rnacentral:sRNA from 1 species
GAAGUCGAUCUCUGUGGGGAAUGGGAUACUCGGGAACAACGCUGUUAUGGCUGAUGUCGCGGUGGGAGCGUACCUGGAAACGAAUGCACCCAUCCUUGAUAUCCCCCGGAGCGUCAUACAUGCCUUUUCUUCGGCUGACCAUAUUUGCAAAUUUGAUACCGUUUUGAACGAAACAAACAAGUACCCACCCCCUGGCCCGAUAAGUGUUCCGGGAAACCCAGAAAACCUGAACUUUAGACGUGACGAACUUUGCAGGACGCCAUCGGAUAGCGAUGCCGGCCCAAUGGCUGAAUGUAACACCCACCCGAGAGAGUAUACUUCCGUGAUGGAAUCAAUUCUGAAUUCCACUUGCUACGGGCCUUGUGCGACCUUCUCUACUGCGGCUGACUACUUUGAGACGCGCUCCAAUUUAACUCACGAUUGCUUUAACCUAUACAACAUCAAAUACGAUUGCGGCACUGUCAGCCCUCUGGGCGCGCUGACUGCCUAUUUAAAUCGGGUAGACGUCCAAACCUGGCUGCAUAUUCCGCAGUCUGAUACCAGCAAAUCGAGCAAGAAGCGUAACAAACCGUACCCGUUUCAAGGAUGCAAUAGCGAGAUUAUGCAAGCUCUUUUGAGUCCAGCUAACCACCCAACACCACCAGCAUAUUUCAUCAUACCGGACUUGAUAUCGACGCACAAUAUCUCUACGCAUAUCUACCAUGGCAAGUUAGACAUGCUCAUCAACCACAUAGCCGUCGAACUUGCCCUACAGAACAUGACCUGGAACAGGCGUCAGGGUUUCCAGCAACGGCCGACGGCGUCUUUUUGUGUUCGCAAGGGUGGCAGUAGAGCUGGAUCCACAGCUCAGCCUGGAAAUGAUGGGACGAACAACCCCACUGGGGGCAUAUGGACUGCAGAGCGCGGGCUGACUUAUCAUCUCUUUAAUGAUGCGGGGCAUGUUGCACCAUUUGAUCAGCCAGAGGAGAUGUUUUGGUAUGUGAAGGAAGUCAUCCUAGGGGG